rnacentral:lncRNA from 1 species
CCAUGCUCCCCGCCCAUGACUCUUCUUUCCUUGUUCUCUUCCUCCUCAGCAAGCGCAUCUGCUGCAAGGGUGCGGUCCUCAAACCCUGACGUUGGAACUACCCUUCCGGCCCCCAUAGUGAACGCUACUCUGUGCUGGCACGACACGUGCGUAAUCUCAUUCAGCAUCUCUGAUCCCAGAGGAGCAGACCAGCAACCUGAAAGAGUGGAAGAUCUAUUAACAAAUCUUGAGAGUUACUAAGUUAUUAAGAAGACGGCAAACAGCAAACACAGAGCAUUAGACAUUCAGCCAUAGAUACACACAUGUGCUCCCUCCACUAGCUCCCUCAGCACUUUCUUCCCAGCUCUGACAUCCCAAAUCAUUUGGGUUGUCUGUUACUUCUCUUAGAUGUGUCUCGAAACUCCCAGCUUUGAACAGUGUCAUCAUGUUGGAGCUCAAGAUGAAUUUUACCCAGUCAACCCUCAACUUUCAACUCAGGGAAGAAGGCUGCAAUAUAGUGAUCCAGAAUAACGAGCAAACCCACAGGAAUUUCUUUUAUCUUUAGGAAACUUUACGUAAUUUAUUUUGCAAGAGCUCUACAUACCUAAUUCCAUCUUUUACUGGCAUCUAUUCACAUGAGUUUAUGCUCCCAGAAGAAACUCUGGAGCUACAUAGGGUGCUGGUGGAGUGACUGAGAGGAGAGAUGGGAGAAAGAGCACAUUCUCUGAAUCAAGAGUCCUGGAACGCAGAGAGGAAGGGACGCUGUGUCAAGCCUACCUCAGCUGUGGACCCUUACUGACCCAUCAACUAUAGGCAUCUACCCUUCAACAGCCCCCAGAACAAGCAGGAAGAGGGACUCAAAU